UACGGGAGGCAGCAGUGAGGAAUAUUGGUCAAUGGGCGAGAGCCUGAACCAGCCAAGUAGCGUGCAGGAUGACGGCCCUAUGGGUUGUAAACUGCUUUUAUGUGGGGAUAAAGUGAGCUACGUGUAGUUUAUUGCAGGUACCACAUGAAUAAGGACCGGCUAAUUCCGUGCCAGCAGCCGCGGUAAU
rnacentral:rRNA from 1 species